AUUGAUUUUAUGCUUGCAUAAAUGAUUUUUGGAUUCGGAGCGAGUGGCGAACUGGUGAGUAACACGUGGGUAACCUGCCCCGAAGCGGGGGAUAACAUUUGGAAACAAGUGCUAAUACCGCAUAAUUAGUUGGAACCGCAUGGUUCCAACUUGAAAGAUGGCUCUGCUAUCACUUUGGGAUGGACCCGCGCCGUAUUAGUUAGUUGGUGAGAUAAAAGCCCACCAAGACGAUGAUACGUAGCCGACCUGAGAGGGUAAUCGGCCACAUUGGGACUGAGACACGGCCCAGACUCCUACGGGAGGCAGCAGUAGGGAAUCUUCCACAAUGGACGAAAGUCUGAUGGAGCAACGCCGCGUGAGUGAUGAAGGUUUUCGGAUCGUAAAACUCUGUUGUUAAAGAAGAACAAGUGUUAGAGUAACUGUUAACACUUUGACGGUAUUUAACCAGAAAGCCACGGCUAACUACGUGCCAGCAGCCGCGGUAAUACGUAGGUGGCAAGCGUUGUCCGGAUUUAUUGGGCGUAAAGCGAGCGCAGGCGGUUUUGUAAGUCUGCUGUGAAAGCCCUCAGCUCAACUGAGGAAGUGCAGUGGAAACUACAAAACUUGAGUACAGAAGAGGAAAGUGGAACUCCAUGUGUAGCGGUGAAAUGCGUAGAUAUAUGGAAGAACACCAGUGGCGAAGGCGGCUUUCUGGUCUGUUACUGACGCUGAGGCUCGAAAGCAUGGGUAGCGAACAGGAUUAGAUACCCUGGUAGUCCAUGCCGUAAACGAUGAAUACUAGGUGUUGGAGGGUUUCCGCCCUUCAGUGCCGCAGCUAACGCAUUAAGUAUUCCGCCUGGGGAGUACGACCGCAAGGUUGAAACUCAAAGGAAUUGACGGGGGCCCGCACAAGUGGUGGAGCAUGUGGUUUAAUUCGAUGCUACGCGAAGAACCUUACCAGCUCUUGACAUCUUCUGCCAACCCAAGAGAUUGGGUGUUCCCUUCGGGGACAGAAUGACAGGUGGUGCAUGGUUGUCGUCAGCUCGUGUCGUGAGAUGUUGGGUUAAGUCCCGCAACGAGCGCAACCCUUAUUAUUAGUUGCCAGCAUUUAGUUGGGCACUCUAGUGAGACUGCCGGUGAUAAA
rnacentral:rRNA from 1 species